rnacentral:misc_RNA from 1 species
GAUGAAGAACGCAGCGAAAUGCGAUAAGUAAUGUGAAUUGCAGAAUUCAGUGAAUCAUCGAAUCUUUGAACGCACAUUGCGCCCGCCAGUAUUCUGGCGGGCAUGCCUGUUCGAGCGUCAUUUCAACCAUCAAGCCCCCGGCUUGUGUUGGGGACCUGCGGCUGCCGCAGGCCCUGAAAUGCAGUGGCGGGCUCGCUGUCACUCCGAGCGUAGUAGUUACAUCUCGCUCUGGGCGUGCUGCGGGUUCCGGCCGUUAAAAAGCCUUUUUUACCCAAGGUUGACCUCGGAUCAGGUAGGAAGACCCGCUGAACUUAAGCAUAUCAAUAAGCGGAGGA